rnacentral:rRNA from 1 species
UGGGGGGAACCCUGACCGAGCAACGCCGCGUGAGUGAAGAAGGUUUUCGGAUCGUAAAGCUCUGUUGUUAAGGAAGAACGAGUGUGAGAGUGGAAAGUUCAUACUGUGACGGUACUUAACCAGAAAGGGACGGCUAACUACGUGCCAGCAGCCGCGGUAAUACGUAGGUCCCGAGCGUUGUCCGGAUUUAUUGGGCGUAAAGCGAGCGCAGGCGGUUAGAAAAGUCUGAAGUGAGAGGCAGUGGCUCAACCAUUGUAGGCUUUGGAAACUGUUUAACUUGAGUGCAGAAGGGGAGAGUGGAAUUCCAUGUGUAGCGGUGAAAUGCGUAGAUAUAUGGAGGAACACCGGUGGCGAAAGCGGCUCUCUGGUCUGUAACUGACGCUGAGGCUCGAAAGCGUGGGGAGCGAACAGGAUUAGAUACCCUGGUAGUCCACGCCGUAAACGAUGAGUGCUAGGUGUUAGGUCCUUUCCGGGACUUAGUGCCGCAGCUAACGCAUUAAGCACUCCGCCUGGGGAGUACGACCGCAAGGUUGAAACUCAAAGGAAUUGACGGGGGCCCGCACAAGCGGUGGAGCAUGUGGUUUAAUUCCAAGCAACGCGAAGAACCUUACCAGGU